rnacentral:rRNA from 1 species
CACGUAGGGUCCGAGCGUUGUCCGGAAUCAUUGGGCGUAAAGCGCACGUAGGCGGUCUGUUAUGUCGGAUGUGAAAGCCCUCGGCUUAACUGAGGAAGUGCAUCCGAAACUGGCAGGCUAGAGUACUAAAGAGGGUCGCGGAAUUCCCGGUGUAGAGGUGAAAUUCGUAGAUAUCGGGAGGAACACCGGUGGCGAAGGCGGCGACCUGGGUAGAUACUGACGCUGAGGUGCGAAAGCGUGGGGAGCAAACAGG